rnacentral:lncRNA from 1 species
AUACGUCAAUUAAAUUUUGAGGCAACUGAAAUAUAGCCACACCGAUAUUAUUAUUUUUUGUCUUUUUUUGUGGACAUUCAUACUUUUUUUAAUUUGUGUGUGGACAUUCAUGCACGUACAUCUUUGAGUUUCCAGAGAAUAUGCCAUCUCUUACGAUACGAAUCAACAACACCGACCGGUAAGAAGUUUUUUCAUCUAAAAGAUCGAAACAUGCAUGCUUGACUCUGUCUACGACCGGCGCAGCUCAAUCAAACAUGGGUACUAGCAGAGUGCCCGUGCUUUGCUACGGAACAAACAAAACAAAUUCAAGUAAUCCAAUUCAAAAUCAAACAGAAAGUCAUUUGGUGUACAGAGACUUGUACGAUCAACCAAAUUCAAAAUCGAAGUACAAUCUGACACUUCAGCUCACCAAAGUCUAAUAAAUCCUAUCCAUUCUGGCAGCAGCAGCUAAGAGGUGACAUCAGACUUAAGAAAUAGCACUAUCAUCAAGCAUGCCAAAGGAAAACAUCCCGAUAAAUUUUGAAAUAUGCUUCAUUUUGUGUGCAGCGACAGAAAAAUAGUUUGCCAUGCCAGUGCUUCACAUUAUAUGGUCUCAGAACUCCCGACAACCGAUAAUUGCACUACUACAGAAAGGUUUAUCAGUAACGGUCGAAAAACAACAUCAGUAAUGGUCGGGUAUCAUCAGUAACGGUCGCUCCGACCGUUACUGAUAUGUAUCAUCAGUAACGGUCACGUUGCCACAUCAGUGUCGGUCGAGCGACCGAUACUGAUACAUUUUCGGUAUUUAAAAAAAAAAAUCAAAACCACAGAAAAUACACAGUAAAUACACAGAAUAAUAUAUACAGCACAGAAAAAUGUAUCUCAUCACAGGAAAAUACAUAUAAAGCCGCAUCACAUCACAGCACAUCACAUCACAUCAUUUAAAGCAUACAAAUGUAUAUAAGCCGCAUCAUAUAAAGCAUAUAAAGAAUACAAAUGUAUCUCACUUCACGACAUUGAUUACAAAGUGUCAAAAUUUCAUAGAAGCAUAAUUACAAAGUGUCAAAAUUUCAUAGAAGCAUAUAAAGAAUACAAAUGUAUCUCAUUUCAAGUUUGAAUAUCUAUUGUUGUGGGUGAACCCUAGACACGACUUGUUCCACGCGUUCGUAGAAAUCCCCACUAGGCUUGAUGACCUCAUUGUUUAUAAGAUGGGCG